rnacentral:snRNA from 1 species
AGCUUUGAGCAGUGGCAGUAUUGUAGCCAAUGAGGUUUAUCCGAGGCACGAUUAUUGCUAACUGAAAAGCUGGAACUCAAACUCAGGUCUUCCCCCAAGGAAUGUCCUUUCUUUCCAGAACAUCUGCCUAUCUGAUACACAUCAAACAUACGAACAAAACCCUACUGUUUGUUUAAUUAAACUUUAAAACUAUUUUUGAAAUUUUGAAAUGUUGGCAGCACU